rnacentral:rRNA from 1 species
GUGCCAGCCGCCGCGGUAAUACAGAGGGUGCAAGCGUUAAUCGGAAUUACUGGGCGUAAAGGGUGCGUAGGUGGUUAAAUAAGUUAAGUGUGAAAGUCCCGGGCUCAACCUGGGGAUUGCAUUUGAUACUGUUUAGCUAGAGUACUGUAGAGGAAAGUGGAAUUUCCAGUGUAGCGGUGAAAUGCGUAGAUAUUGGAAGGAACAUCAGUGGCGAAGGCGACUUUCUGGACAGAUACUGACACUGAGGCACGAAAGCAUGGGGAGCAAAAAGGAUUAGAUACCCUGGUAGUCC